ACCAGACUCCUACGGGAGGCAGCAGUGAGGAAUAUUGGUCAAUGGGCGAGAGCCUGAACCAGCCAAGUCGCGUGAAGGAUGACGGCCCUACGGGUUGUAAACUUCUUUUGUCAGGGAGCAAUUGAGUCCACGUGUGGUCUUAGCGAGAGUACCUGAAGAAAAAGCAUCGGCUAACUCCGUGCCAGCAGCCGCGGUAAUACGGAGGAUGCGAGCGUUAUCCGGAUUUAUUGGGUUUAAAGGGUGCGUAGGCGGAAUAUCAAGUCAGCGGUAAAAAUUCGGGGCUCAACCCCGUCGUGCCGUUGAAACUGAUGUUCUUGAGAUGUCGAGAGGUAUGCGGAAUGCGCAGUGUAGCGGUGAAAUGCUUAGAUAUUGCGCAGAACUCCGAUUGCGAAGGCAGCAUACCGGCGGCGAUCUGACGCUGAGGCACGAAAGCGUGGGUAUCGAACAGGAUUAGAUACCCUUGUA
rnacentral:rRNA from 1 species